GAUGAACGCUGGCGGCGUGCCUAAUACAUGCAAGUCGAGCGAACAGACGAGGAGCUUGCUCCUCUGACGUUAGCGGCGGACGGGUGAGUAACACGUGGAUAACCUACCUAUAAGACUGGGAUAACUUCGGGAAACCGGAGCUAAUACCGGAUAAUAUAUUGAACCGCAUGGUUCAAUAGUGAAAGACGGUUUUGCUGUCACUUAUAGAUGGAUCCGCGCCGCAUUAGCUAGUUGGUAAGGUAACGGCUUACCAAGGCAACGAUGCGUAGCCGACCUGAGAGGGGGGAUCGGCCACACGGAAAUUAGACACGGGUCCAGCCCCUAACGGGGGGCACAAUGAGGAAAUUUUCCCAAUGGGGGGAAACCCUGAGGGGCAAACCCGCGGGGGGGAUGAAAGUCCUCCGGUCCUUAAAACCUUUUUUUUGGGAAAAAAAAAAUGGGAAAUUAACUUGGCCCGUUUGACGGGAACCAAUACAAAAACCCCCGGCAAACUACGG
rnacentral:rRNA from 1 species